GUGUGACCAACACACUCGAACAAAAAAAAAUUCAACUAUAGAUUGUCUAAGUGCCGGCGUGUUGUGGAAAAUGCUUUUGGCCAUUUAAAAGCCCGAUUUAGGAGAAUUGGAAAAGGCGUGGAUAACCACAUCAAAAAUGUAAACACAGUUAUUUCAUGUGCAUGUGUUUUACAUAAUUUUUUGAUUGCUGAGAAGGAUUUAAUUUUGGAAAAUUGGCUAGUGGAAAUGCAUCGCGAUUCCAGACGCAAUAUUCAAUACGGCACCAAUGCAGUUGACCGAUCUGAAGGAGAAUCGAUAAGAAAUGCGUUAAAGGAAUAUUUCAGUGCGGAAGCUUCGUUCAGUGCUGGAGACGAUGGUGGCGAAAAUGAAAAUGAAGCAGACGG